rnacentral:rRNA from 1 species
CUAGCCGUAAACGAUGGAUACUAGGCGUUGUGAGUAUCGACCCUCACAGUGUCGUAGCUAACGCGUUAAGUACCCCGCCUAGGGAGUACGCGCGCAAGCGUGAAACUCAAAGGAAUUGACGGGGGCCCGCACAAGCGGUGGAGUAUGUGGUUUAAUUCGAUGCAACGCGAAGAACCUUACCAGGACUUGACAUGUCGCGAAUCUCAGGGAAACUUGAGAGUGCCUUCGGGAGCGCGAACACAGGUGGUGC